UUUCCCUGCCACCCCUUGGUCAUUUUAAAUAACUCCUACAUAAAACCUUCCUCCCCCAUAUGCUAUAACCAUCCCAUCCUCCGCCUUACCUACCAUUCCCUUUGUGAAUUCUUUCAAACAAUAGGUUUCACCUCCACUGCCUUCACAAACAUGGAAGAGUGCUUUGCAACAUCGCACAAUUUUCACUGUUUCAGCUAGGAGUCCUACUACCGACACACACCAAAUCCCUCCAGUUGUUGCCACAGCAAAACGUAAUCCGAUCCCCGCUUAAUCCAGAACUAUAUCGAAUGAAGAAAUACCCCCAUCAACCCCUUCCAACUUUAACCAUCAUACUGUAUUUCCAGGCACCCACUCAAUGGGCAUACAACCAGCCUCUAAACUAUGAAUCAACUACCUGUGAUGCGAAUACGCCCAUCUUAGUAUUUCCAGAUACUUUGCACAUUAUAACUUCUACUUCAUUAUUGUUUUCCCAAGAUAACAUUUUGCUUUUCCCUUUCUUCAGAAAUUGAACUACACAGGCACCCACUCAAUGGGCAUACAAUCAGCCCUCUAAACUAUGAAUCACUGCCUGCGGUGCCAACAAGCCCAUCUAAGGGUGUUAUCUCAUACCAAAAGCAUGUAAACACCAACAUGAAAUUGACAAAUGGAGCCACUGGCUUAUGUUCUGAUACAUUCGUAACUCAUGUUUACACCUU